AAGUCGUAACAAGGUUUCCGUAGGUGAACCUGCGGGAAGAUCAUUCGUAUCUAACACUUUGUUAUAACAAAUACAAACCAAUUGUGAACUGUUACGUCCCUAUCCAUGAAGUUAUAGAUUGGUGACGAUCAAUCUAUAAUGAAUUGCGGUAGACAAUACCCUCUUUUACCAGUAGUUGACUACUUCUUCUGAAGUAGCUCAGCGAAGAUAUUCACCAAUUUUACUCUAUAACUAAAACCUGACUAAUCUCUUAAACCUUUAUGGACGGCUUAACAGCUGUUAAUAAAGAUUUACGAAACAAUGAACAACUCCUAGCAAUGGAUAUCUUGGGUCAU
rnacentral:misc_RNA from 1 species